CACUACUCUUCUUCCUCUGCUGAAAGUAUGAAACUGCCAUCCAUCCAUCCAUCCAUCGUAGACUAAACAGUAGUGUGUAAAUUAAGGACUACGUACCUGAUCAAAUGAGGGUAAGCUGGGCAUUCUAGCAUCAUUUUAGUGCUCUGGCUGCAAAUAAACUUAUGGGGUCAGUUUGCUUCUUUCAAAAAUCCUUUAUGGAAGUCAUCAAUGGAUUGGGAUCUCCAAGAGAGAAGGAUGUGAAUGGAUUCAUCGAAGGAUCAUAUAUUCCUUUCCGGCCACUGAUCAAGUGGCCAUCAGGUACCAUCCUGUACUUAUAUGUAAUGUCAUGGAGGGUGAUAACUAUUUAACACAUUGAUGUCAGGUCAAGUGGAACAUGGUAUAGAGCACAUGAUGUGGUUCUUGAAAUUAAGAUGGAAUCGCAGUCACACGGUUAGGUCACCCAAGUGACAAGAUGAUGUUUAUUUGAAAAAGAUAUUAAGCAACUGUAAAUCUCACUUCCAAGUAACGGAUCCUGGACCAGAGGAGAAAUCAAGGGUUCUUGAAUCUCAAAUCCCAAACGUGGUGUUUAAUAACGUGUUGCAGGGGUAAAAAUAAAUUAAUUUAAUGUUUUUUUAAAUAAAAAAAAUUAAAAAAACAAGUUGAACCACAAAAACAAACCCACCCAAAACGUUUUAAUACUACCAAUAUUUCUAUGUUUUUCCUUUAUUAUUUUAUAUAUAGUUUUAGUGAUCAAGCUGUAUUGUUAUCAUUUUCGUAAAUUAAUAUUAUUUUUAAUUAAGUAAAGGCAUGCUAUCAACAUUUAAAUUGGUUUGUUUGUGAAUCUUUAUCACUUUUUUUCUACAGAUUGAAAAUGAAAUAAUGCUGUAAUAUCGUGUGGUGAAGUUUAUUUCCCGAACGACAUUAAUUUCAAGGAUAAAAGUAAAAAACUACGUGUAAUUUUGUAAGCUAAUACUUGCUUCAACAAAUAUCAUUAUCUGUAGAAAUUGAUUUCUCCUAAGUAAUAUAUAUUUCCUCACAGAAUUUCAUAGGUCAAAUGAAGCACCAAAACAUUCAUGGUUAUGAAUUUCAUUUGAAGUAUUUAACGACGACCGUUUUCUUUCUCUCUUUUGUUUUAUUCCAUUAGCAUAUGCUUUUUCUAAAACAGUAAUUGAUUAUGUUGAAAGCUGAUAUCAUUACGUAGUUAAUUUGAUUUGAUUUGUUUGUAAUUGUUUCUUGGGGGGAAUCAAUCUCUUGGUUAACCUGGGGUUAAUAAUAUAGAAAAGCAAAAGCACAUAGUUAUAACGGGCAGUUCUAUAAUUAUGAUAUUGCAUGGUAACAUGGGCCACAAAAUAUAAACUGGGAAUGAAAUUUACUGUAGGGGGUCAAACCUAGGCAGGGAACCCGAGAAGCAGGAAUGGAUGAACAAGCAUGAAAAAUUCCAGAGAGGUCCGAGUCAUAAAUGGUCUUUAAAGAAUCUUCACCUCUAAAAUUCCAAACCCUUUUAACACAUGGUUAGAAGCUAGCUUGUGGACUGUUGCUUACGGAAGUUUCAGGUCCGGUGGGUCCUAGAGAAUGUCGUGGGGGACAAUUACAGUGUAUUUUAAAGAGCGUGUCCUAGAAAUAAAUCAUCUCUCUGUCGAGGAGAAAAGGGCUUGAGUGAGUCCAAAUAGAGUGUCCAAAACGUUCGUAGAUUCAAUUCUACUUCACAUAACUAAUGAUGGCUUACAGCAAGGUAAUUUAUGAGAGACUGAGAUUAUUAAGAAACCCAAGUUUUAUUUUUGAUUAAGAUAUCUUCGAACAAGCUCGAAAUUAGUUUUUCAAAUAUAAUGUUGUGGUUUGAGAGCAAGGACUUAUUUAAAUAUUAAAUUCUUCUUGAAAUAUUGUCCAUGUCUUGAACUUAUUUCAACAAAGACAACGUAUGUAAGAUGAUUAGCAUGUAUUUGACAUUUAUGCUAGGAAUCCAACAAGAUAAUUAAGCUCUUUCUAGCUCCUUAACCACUACGAUUCAAAUCGGAUCAGAUUAUUAAAAAAAAAAGAACAAGAAGAAGCCAUGAAUCCUUAGAUAUUACUGAUUCCAACAUAUCACUUAAUGUAAUAAAACAGGACAGGACUUUAUGUGGCAGAAGGAGAGAACAGAAAACGUAAGAGGUGCUAAAAGAGAAUUUCUCUCCUAAGCUGUCAACAGUACGAAAUUCUUAAUUUUUAAUGAAGGUGGAUACCUUUUUCCACAAAAUUCAGCUCACCUACAGAGGCCAGGAUCAUCAGCUUGAAGCAGGAAAUCGAGUCGCUUUCACUACAAGCCCAAACCAUUUUGUAAUGGGCCAUUUACAGUCACAUGUGCUAUAAUCCCAGGAGGAUCUUUUUGGGCUCUCAAACGUAUAAAACUAAGCUUCGGCCUUUUUAGGUCUCUUAA